UACGGAGGGUGCGAGCGUUGUCCGGAAUCACUGGGCGUAAAGGGCGCGUAGGUGGCGCGGGCAGUCAACGGUGAAAGUUCGGGGCUCAACCCCCGAAUCGGCCGUCGAUACUCCCGGGCUUGAGCACUGUAGAGGCUAAUGGAAUUCCGGGUGUAGCGGUGGAAUGCGUAGAGAUCCGGAAGAACACCGGUGGCGAAGGCGGUUAGCUGGGCAGUUGCUGACACUGAGGCGCGACAGCGUGGGGAGCAAACAGG
rnacentral:rRNA from 1 species